rnacentral:misc_RNA from 1 species
GUGAAGAACGCAGCGAAAUGCGAUACGUAAUGUGAAUUGCAGAAUUCAGUGAAUCAUCGAGUCUUUGAACGCACAUUGCGCCCCCUGGUAUUCCGGGGGGCAUGCCUGUCCGAGCGUCAUUGCUGCCCUCAAGCACGGCUUGUGUGUUGGGCCUCCGUCCUCCUCCCGGGGGACGGGCCCGAAAGGCAGCGGCGGCACCGCGUCCGGUCCUCGAGCGUAUGGGGCUUCGUCACCCGCUCUUGUAGGCCCGGCCGGCGCUUGCCGACACAUCAAUCUUUUUUCCAGGUUGAACUCGGAUCAGGUAGGGAUACCCGCUGAACUUAAGCAUAUCAAUAAGCGGAGGA